rnacentral:rRNA from 1 species
AGAGUUUGAUUAUGGCUCAGGAUGAACGCUGGCGGCGUGCUUAACACAUGCAAGUCGAACGGGGUACCCUUGACAGAGGCUUCGGCCAAUUGAUAGGAAUACCUAGUGGCGGACGGGUGAGUAACGCGUGAGGAACCUGCCUUGGAGUGGGGAAUAACAGUUAGAAAUAGCUGCUAAUACCGCAUAAUGCAACUAAGUCGCAUGGCUUUGGUUGCCAAAGAUUUAUCGCUCUAAGAUGGCCUCGCGUCUGAUUAGAUAGUUGGCGGGGUAACGGCCCACCAAGUCGACGAUCAGUAGCCGGACUGAGAGGUUGGCCGGCCACAUUGGGACUGAGACACGGCCCAGACUCCUACGGGAGGCAGCAGUGGGGAAUAUUGGGCAAUGGGCGCAAGCCUGACCCAGCAACGCCGCGUGAAGGAAGAAGGCCCUCGGGUUGUAAACUUCUUUUAUUCGGGACGAAACAAAUGACGGUACCGAAUGAAUAAGCCACGGCUAACUACGUGCCAGCAGCCGCGGUAAUACGUAGGUGGCAAGCGUUAUCCGGAUUUACUGGGUGUAAAGGGCGUGUANGCGGGAGAGCAAGUCAGACGUGAAAUUCCGGGGCUCAACCCUGGAACUGCGUUUGAAACUGUUCU